GCCGCGGCUUCCGCCCGGGAGGCGGGCUGGUCCCAAACGAGGUCGUGCGCGCUUCCUGCGAUGGUUUUUUGCUGUCCCCGUCUGGCCCCAGGUUGGUAUAUGCUGGACGUCAGCAGCAGAUAGGACACCCCAGCACAAUGAGCCCGCAGCAAUCCGGACUUUCUAGCCUUCAAGUGUACCUCAGAGCGGAAGCUGCGCAUUUGAUUUUUUUUUUUUUUUUUUGGCUCCAUAUUAAAGAACAAAGCAUGGGAACUGGACAGGUCCCUCUGUAAACAGAAAACACAUGUUUUCUGAGAGAAUGGGCCCUUCCUUUCCUGGUUUCAUCUCCCGUGGACAGAGGCCUCCUUAGGCCCGCUGACUUCAAGACCAUGGAGACUGUGGACCGAGGGCUGAGAGGAGGUGAUUCUUCUUUGCUCAACUCAGGGACCGGACACUCGCCUUCUUUUUUUUUUUUUUUUUUUUUUUUUGAGAGUCUCGCUCUGUCGCCCAGGCUGGAGUGCAGUGGCGCGAUCUCAGUUCACUGCAAGCUCCGCCUCCCGGGUUCACGCCAUUCUCCUGCCUAAGCCUCCGGAGUACCUGGGACUACAGGCACCCGCCACCAAGCCCGGCUAAUUUUUUUUUUUUUUUUUUUUUGUAUUUUUAGUAGAGACGGGUUUCACCAUGUUAGCCAGGAUGGUCUCGAUCUCCUGACCUCGUGAUCCGCCUGCCUCGGCCUCCCAAAGUGCUGGGAUUACAGGCAUGAGCCACCGCGCCCAGCUGACAUUUGCCUUUUUGAAUGGGGGCCAGGACAAGUGCUAGAGGUCUGCUCAGCAGUGGGGUGUGGUCUGAGGAGGGAGGGCCCCUCAGAGACCUGAACAGGAAGUGGGGGUCUGCACCAUUUGUGUCCUCCAAGCACACUAGAAUUGUUUAGGGUUCUACCCGAGCUAGCUCCAAGUGAACGUGUGUUCUUUGGAGCCUGCUAGCCACAAAUGGGCAGAGACCUCUAACUCAGAUGAGAAGCCUGUGUCUGCAAAGAAUGGGCAUUCUUGGACUGAGUACCCACUGCUGUGUGUCCUUGGGCAAGUUUCUUAACCUCUCUGGGCCUCACGUUUCUCAUCUGUAAAAGCAGGAUAAUAGUUAUUUAGGAUUCAAUAAGAUCAUGGAAAUAGCCCCAUUGGACACAUAACUAGGAGCUAAUUAAUAAGUGAGCAAAAUCAAACAUUGUCUCUGUUUCAAUGCUGAGCUACGGUAGAGUGGCCCAAGAAUCCUCUACAGACACCCAGGGUGCCCAUACUCCAAGGAGCACCUCCUCUUCCCCUGCCUUCUGUUGGGCACAGCCACUCCCAGGCCGCCGUGACACCUUUUUGGAAGCAGCCGUCUUGCAGACAGAUCAUCCCUUUGAAUCUCCCCAGCAGCCUGAACUUUGUCCUUGAGGGGAGAUUUGAUUUGCGGAAAUAAUCAGACAUCCCGGUUCCCACGAAAAGCAACCGCCUGGCAAGUCUGGAGCAGGCGAAGAGGGAGUGAGGGGGUGUGGCUCGCUCCCCAAGUUCUUUGGCUCAGCUUCAGUGCUGGGUCAUUCUUGGGGACUGCUAUGCCCACUGGGCACUGCAGAACUUCUGGUUCCUGUGCGUUCCGUGGGCCCAUCCACCUGGCUGGGCUUGGCUAGGCUGUGACCUUCUCUGAGGACAGGGCUCUGCCUGCAUUUGGAGCUGCUGGGACCUCAGUGUCACCCCCCACUCUCGCCAGCUGGCCUCACAAAGGUGCCCAGGAGGAGACCUGAUUGCCGACUCCUUUCCCCUCCCUGGCUGAGCAGAUUCUACAACAGCCUGUGGAAAUUAAAAUAAGAGCUUAAAACUGUCAAAAAAAUUUUUUUUAACCAAGUCACAAAUGGGAAAGCUGAGGCGGCAGCAGGUUAAGGACACUUUGUGAUGUAGCGUUCUCUCCCAGUGCUUUCGUACUGUAAACAUCACAGUCCACGGUCCCUGUGAACAGGCAGCCACAGAGACUGGGUUUAGACUUGCCGGGGAAGGCUGCAUCCAAAGUGGGGCCAGCUCAGAACUAUUCCACCACAUGGGGGGCCAUUAGUUCUGCUCAGUUCUGUGGGGCCUCACUAGUGUUUCUAUUUAAAAAUAAGUCAAGGUAAAAGAAAAAGUUUCAAAAUGUAACAGUCACGUAUCUAUUUCUGUAAUUGUAAAGAAAUACACUGUCAUGUGACGGCUGGAGGCUCUGGAGCAGAGGGCCUAGGAGGAAUUUUUUUUCUUUUUCUUUUUCUUUCCUGAAUUCUCCAAACCGUCUAUCACAGUGUGUAUUGCUUUUAUAACGGGAAGAGAUAAAAUAGACUUACAUUAAAAAUAAUCAAACUGCACCUGUGCCUACAUGUCAAAUGAUAAACGUGACAAUCAAAGGCACUUUUUAUUUAUCGAAUACCUGGUUCAUGCCACAUCUCCUGCUAGGCCCUCCCAGCGUGCUGGCUCCUCAGAACACCCUGCAGGUGGGAGCUGGGCACCAGGGUCCCUGAGGCAGCAUUCAGCACCCACGUGGCAGAGCCAAGGCUGGACAGGGAUGAUUCCAACAUCCAGGAUUGUAUUAUGCUUAUAACGACUUCCUGCCUGUUUGUAUUUAAGACAAGGUCUCUCACUGCAGCUUUGACCUCCCGGGCUUGAGCAGUCUUCCCACCUCAGCCUCUGGAGUAGCUGGGAGUUACAGGUGCACACCCCCAUGCUUGGCUAAUUUUUGUAUAUUUUGCAUAGACAGGGUUUCGCCGUG
rnacentral:lncRNA from 1 species